GUCACAGACUCCCGCAGCAACUGCAACUGUGCGCCCAAGUCUGCAGUUUUCUGCGCAUUUUACGUCAGCUUCUACCCAGUUUCGGUUGUCAUCGGUAGCAGAACAUCUUUAGCAGUAAGAAGAUUGUGCUCAUGACACACAGCAGAUGGGACCUCUAGAGAAGAAAACAAUUGGUCCAUGAGAAGCUGUACGUAGGAGGAGGCACACAGAUCUUGUCCCAAGCAGCAACAGAUUGAUGGCAGAUUAAGAGAAGCAGAGCUUGGUCCAUGACAAACUGUAUGUGGAAGAAGCAGACAGACUUGAUCCCAACCAGCCAGAAAAGGACACGCAGAUAUAGAUUGCAACCGAUUCUGAAAAGAUGUAUAAAAAAUAUAUUUUGACGGAAUUGUAAAUUUUCUGCGAUACUGCAGAUCAACUUAUAACAAUGUAAAAACUUUACCUCAAAUUACAUGUAUUAACAUUAAGACAAUCAGGUUGUGAGAGCAGACAAGUGUAAAAUUGCCAUUUUGUGAAAGUAAAACUGUAAAGACUGAAAGUUUUUUUUCAUUGUAAUCAUUCUGAACUUCAUCUCACUUGCUAUCCAACAUGCCAUCACCAUUUGUUUUAUACAAGAAGACCAGAGACUUCAUCGUUGUCAAGACGUGUAUACCAAAAUUGCAAAGGCCCUGGAGGUAUAUAUCACAGGCAUUUCCAUACAAAAUUUUGUUCCAAUACCAUGGCAAUACAGAGGGACCA